AGUGCUAGGAACCUGCGCCCGGCUGAGCUGAGCGAGGCGAGAGGAGAAAGCGAGGCCCGGGGACGGGACUGAGAGCUCUGAAAGGAGGGAGGCGGCUCCCGAGUACUCCGCGCGGGGCAGGCCCCGGCCUCGCCUCUUCGCCCAUUUUUAAGGCUCGAGUUAGAGGCCACCUCCUCCGAGAAGCCUUCGGUGACACCACCUCUCCCAGACGGUUCCCCUUUCUGAUUCCCACAGCAUUUUCCAACCAUUCACGCCGUCUUCCUUCCUCAUUGUGGUUUGGACCUUCUCGAGAAAGAAUCUGGCCUCAGUCUCCCUCUUCCACACUCAGGGACCGCCACCAUCACAGGCACUCGGUAGAUGUCUGCUGAAUGAGGAUAACUUCUACCCAACACCGUGAAGCCUGGCCCAGGGUCUGGCAUACAGAUGCCGUGUUUGUAAGUCCUGGUUGCUCAUCUCGCCCACUUGCACAGCCCACCUGUGUGGCCGACUCAGGAUUGACCCACCUGCUCUCUUCAGGCCAUAUUCCCACGCAGAAGUGGGUCCCACUCCUCAGGC
rnacentral:lncRNA from 1 species